rnacentral:rRNA from 1 species
UCGGGAAUUUUGGGCAAUGGGCGAAAGCCUGACCCAGCAACGCCGCGUGAAGGAUGAAGUAUUUCGGUAUGUAAACUUCGAAAGAAUAGGAAGAAUAAAUGACGGUACUAUUUAUAAGGUCCGGCUAACUACGUGCCAGCAGCCGCGGUAAUACGAAGGGGACUAGCGUUGUUCGGAAUUACUGGGCGUAAAGCGUGCGCAGGCGGCCGCGCAAGUCAGGUGUGAAAUCCCCGGGCUUAACCUGGGAAUUGCGCUUGAAACUAUGCGGCUAGAGUGUGGCAGAGGGGGGUGGAAUUCCACGUGUAGCAGUGAAAUGCGUAGAGAUCGGGAGGAACAUCGGUGGCGAAGGCGGCCAGCUGGGCCGUUGCUGACGCUGAGGCGCGAAAGCGUGGGGAGCAAACAGGAUUAGAUACCCCUGUAGUCCCUGAGCGGGCUGGCAAGGCGCAU